rnacentral:rRNA from 1 species
AGCAGUAGCCGCGGUAAUACGGAGGAUCCAAGCGUUAUCCGGAAUCAUUGGGUUUAAAGGGUCCGUAGGCGGUCUUGUAAGUCAGUGGUGAAAGCCCAUCGCUCAACGGUGGAACGGCCAUUGAUACUGCAGGACUUGAAUUAUUGGGAAGUAACUAGAAUAUGUAGUGUAGCGGUGAAAUGCUUAGAGAUUACAUGGAAUACCAAUUGCGAAGGCAGGUUACUACCAAUUGAUUGACGCUGAUGGACGAAAGCGUGGGUAGCGAACAGGAUUAGAUACCCCAGUAGUCCCUGUCUCUUAUAA